rnacentral:misc_RNA from 1 species
UUUAUUUAUUUAUUUAUUUUAUAAACAAUUGAGUGUCUGAUUGAAGAAAGAUUUUGCAACCAAGCAUUUUUGCACUUUUUCAAUGACUGGAUCUAUGUAUUCAGAUUGAUUGAAAUAAUAUUAGAAGUACUUUGCUUGCAUGUUAAUAGACAUAUGGAAUUAUGGAUUAUUGUAACAAAAAGCAUCGUCAAGGUUUUAAGGAGAGAAUUGAAAAAAGUCCUAGUAAUCCAUAGAGAGAACACAAUUCUAUUCCAUGUGACAGGUGCAUGAUUUUUUUUAUUUAAAAAUCAAAUUAGUCCACAUUUGGCUAGUGAAACCAAAUUAUAUAUUAUUUUGAUUUUUCUUGUCACUUUCCAGUCACCAUAAAAGUACAAAGGCACUUGGUUGCAAUUUUUUUUUCUCGUUCAGGAACUCAAGUGCAAAAAGGAGAAAAAAGGAAUCAAAUAGAAAAUUUCAAAAUGUUAACGGAUUCAAAAUGCCAUUACUCCUUUAUGCUAUGUUUCUAUUGAUCUAUUUCAAAUAAAGGAACAGGACAUGAUUUUAGUUUAAAUUG